rnacentral:rRNA from 1 species
AUUGAACGCUGGCGGCAUGCUUUACACAUGCAAGUCGGACGAGUGGCGAACGGGUGAGUAACAUAUCGGAACGUUCCGAGUAAUGGGGGAUAACUAAUCGAAAGAUUAGCUAAUACCGCAUAUUCUUCGCUCGUCCGAUAUCUGAUUCGCUGGUUGGUGGGGUAAAGGCCUACCAAGGCGACGAUCAGUAGCGGGGCUGAGAGGAUGAUCCGCCACACUGGGACGGAGACACGGCCCAGCCUCCUACGGGAGGCAGCAGUGGGGAAUUUUGUACAAUGGGCGCAAGCCUGAUCCAGCCAGGCCGCGUGUCUGAAGAAGGCCUUCGGGUUGUAAAGGACUUUUGUCAGGGAAGCGGUAACUGAAGAAUAAGCACCGGCUAACUACGUGCCAGCAGCCGCGGUAAUAG